ensembl:lncRNA
AGUCUAUGUAUCUGUGGUUGGCAAGUCUGGUCGCAUCUCUGGCUGCUGUUGACCUUGUUUUUGGAGUAAAACACGAUGUUCAGAGGGAGAUGAUGCCACAUCUGGUCCAGCUGAUGGAAGGUCUUGAAGUUCUCUGACUGGCCUCGACUGAAGAUGCUGGAGUUGUAACAUCUGUCCUGAUAUUGAUCAUGAAAUAUUGAUCAGAAUACUUAUGGUUAGCAGUCAUCCCUGAAGUUUUACAUUAAAAUCUUUACUUGUGUUGUGAACUUUGGUAAGAAGCAGAAACGUUAGCGUUGCCAUGGAUACAUGAGUAUUAAAUUCUGUCCAUGUUUCCAUUUUGGUAAAUUCAGUCCAGUUCCAGAAUGUGGAGGAAUUUAGUCUCAAUCACAGACAACAAAUAUUAUCUGAAAGUCGGGUUAUUGUUGUUUAUCAGCACAAUACAAAAAGAUUAAUGUUAGAAAUAUUCCAGUUAAGACUCUAGAAUAUCAUGAUUUAUGUAAAUUUACGUCAAUAAUAUGAAUGUUCAGGUUAAGAUUGUACAGUGAUAUUUAUUAUGUAAGUUUAGCUGAUUAAAGUUUAGGACUCUGCACUAAAAUUUUAUUUUAAUUGACAUCAUUAUUAUAAUAUUUAGGGUCAGACCCUACAGUAUUGAGGUUAAGAAAUCAAAUAUUCUAUAAAAUGUAAAUACACUGAACUCAUUUGGAUAUAUUUAAGUGAGACUCUACAAUAUUAUUUGACACAAAUCUAUCUAAAUCAAAAUUUUAAUACUUUUCACGCCAAACACUUACUGGACUGAUUUAAAUAUUAAAAUCACUCCUUUCUAAUCCUCUGCUGUACUUUCAAACCUGAGGCCUUAAAUAGAAACACACAAGUAUCUGAUUGAAGGAACUUCUGCAGAGUCCUGGUUCCAGAACAUGAUGAUAGAAUUAUAGACAAACUUUAACAAAAGCUGCCUGAGAGUUUACAGGUUUUUAUGUUGGAUUUCUUCGGUAAUUUAAUGAGAGUUAUCAGCAAUAAUCAAGUGUUCAUUUGAUGAACUACAUUUCCUAAAACAUCCAGAAUUGGAGCUCAUAUCUUUGACAGCUGUAAAGUUUCUGCUCCUUCAAAGUUCACAACACAAUGAAUGAAUUCCUAAAACACUCUCAGUGCUGGAGAGUGUUUGUGAUGCUGAAGCAGUGACCAGUUUUUCUGUUUCUUCUCUGAAGCUGCACAAUGAGGGACGUCUGCAGAGACUGAGAAAGAGUCUCACCACAUCCUGACAUGAGGAAAAAGACUUUAUUGAAGACUACAAUGAGAAAAACUAUCAGACAGCAGACGGCUGCAUUUAAGAGAAGAAGACCAUCAAACAUCCACGUCAGCUGAUGGAGGUCCAAGAGUCUCACCGAACAGCCAACCUACAGAGUGAAGACCUCGAAUCUGAUUGGACGGCCUCCUAUUCAGCCACAUGUGUGAACAAAUGCCUCUAAGCUGAUUUGUUUUCUAAAAUAAAUCUAGUUUGAGUCCUAAUCUAUGCCUGUGUGUUUGCUUCUUUACACCACUGUUAACAGUUUAGGCUGUUAGAUUGUUCCAGAUAAGACAAGUACAAGAUUCUUCAGAGCUGUUCUACCACGAGCCUGACAGGAAGAACGCCAACAGCUACUGAAUGUUCCUGUGGUUCCCUCAAGGCUACAGGAGGAGCCGUACGAGGACGAGCUGGUCCACCUGAUGGUGGCCAGUCGCUGUGGUUCAAAGCCAACACCGACUACGUGGACUUCUACUGGACCACAUGGAGGCCUUCAAACCGGACCAACAAGUUCACCGACUCCCCGACUCGUGGGUCUGAGGAUGCCGCCGAGCCUCGGUCCAGCCGGCCUCCUGUCUGUGGGUGUUUGAGUGCUGAGAGGUUUGUGGAUCCACGUGAACGUGUCUGUGUUGAAACAGCAGCUUUGGACUCAGUAACGCCAGGAAAAACCAAGAGCUCCUUUAUUUGUGACUUCCACUAAAAAAACUGAUGAAAAUAAGUUUGCCAGGGUUCUGACCGAUAACAGAUUAUUAAAUACUGAAAAUAAUUGUUUAAAUAUUCCUUUAAACAAUCCUUUUAGGUCUACAUUUCCUUUACACUGACUUCUUGGUAUAUGUACAAGUAUUUUGGGUGGAAUAUACCAUUAAGCCCG